rnacentral:rRNA from 1 species
AGAAUGAACGUUGGCGGCGUGGAUUAGGCAUGCAAGUCGAGCGAUCGUAGCAAUACGGGAGCGGCAAACGGGGUAGGAAUACCUCGGAACAUACCCUCAGGUCGGGGAUAGCGGCGGGAAACUGCCGGUAAUACCCGAUGAUAUCGAGAGAUCAAAGGUUUACUGCCUGGGGAGUGGCCGAGGCGAUAUUAGCUAGUUGGUGAGGUAAUGGCUCACCAAGGCAUAGAUGUCGUAGGGGGCGUGAGAGCGCCGACCCCCACCACUGGGACUGAGAAACU